UAACCCUUCCUAUACUA
rnacentral:tRNA from 1 species